ACUGAAAAGCUAGAGUACAGAAGGGGUAGAGGGAAUUCCCAGUGUAGCGGUGAAAUGCGUAGAGAUUGGGAAGAACACCAGUGGCGAAGGCGCUCUACUGGGCUUGUACUGACGCUGAGGGACGAAAGCUAGGGUAGCGAAAGGGAUUAGAUACCCCUGUAGUCUUAGCAGUAAACGAUGGAUACUARGUGUWGCUCGUAUCGACCCGAGCUGUGCCGAAGCUAACGCGUUAAGUAUYCCGCCUGGGGAGUACGCACGCMAGUGUGAA
rnacentral:rRNA from 1 species